rnacentral:rRNA from 1 species
AUUGAACGCUGGCGGCAGGCCUAACACAUGCAAGUCGAGCGAGUGGCGGACGGGUGAUUAAUGUCUGGGAAACUGCCUGAUGGAGGGGGAUAACUACUGGAAACGGUAGCUAAUACCGCAUACCAUCAGAUGUGCCCAGAUGGGAUUAGCUAGUAGGUGGGGUAAAGGCUCACACAGGCGACGAUCACUAGCUGGUCUGAGAGGAUGACCAGCCACACUGGAAAUGAGACACGGUCCAGCCUCCGACGGUAGGCAGCAGUGGGGAAAAUUGCACAAUGGGCGCAAGCCUGAGGCAGCCAUGCCGCGUGUAUGAAGAAGGCCUUCGGGUUGUAAAGUACUUUCAGCGGGGAGGCGUUACCCGCAGAAGAAGCACCGGCUAACGCCGUGCCAGCAGCCGCGGUAAUAC